AUACGGAGGGUCCGAGCGUUAUCCGGAAUCAUUGGGUUUAAAGGGUCCGUAGGCGGGAAUCUAAGUCAGUGGUGAAAUCUUGCAGCUCAACUGUAAAACUGCCAUUGAUACUGGAUUUCUUGAAUUAGUGUGAAGUGGUUAGAAUGUGUAGUGUAGCGGUGAAAUGCAUAGAUAUUACACAGAAUACCAAUUGCGAAGGCAGAUCACUAACACUAUAUUGACGCUAAGGGACGAAAGCGUGGGGAGCGAACAGGAUUAGAAACCCCAGUAGUCC
rnacentral:rRNA from 1 species